CCUACGGGUGGCAGCAGUGGGGAAUAUUGCGCAAUGGGCGAAAGCCUGACCCAGCGACGCCGCGUGAGGGAUGAAGGUCUUCGGAUCGUAAACCUCUGUCAGCAGGGACGAACGGUCACUGUGCUAAUCAGCAGUGAAUUGCCGGUACCUGCAAAGUAAGCACCGGCUAACUCCGUGCCAGCAGCCGCGUUAAUACGUAGGUUGCGAGCGUUAGUCGUAAUUACUGGGCGUAAAGCGCUCGUAGGCGGUAUGUCAAGUCAAGGGUGAAAUCCCCGCGCUCAACGUGGGAACUGCCUUUGAAACUGGGAAACUGGAGUGUGUGAGAGGAUAGUGGAAUUCCAGGUGUAGGAGUGAAAUGCGUAGAUAUAUGGAGGAACAUCAGUGGCGAAGGCGACUAUCUGGCACAUAACUGACGCUGAGGAGCGAAAGCGUGGGUAGCAAACAGGAUUAGAUACCCGGGUAGUC
rnacentral:rRNA from 1 species